AGGAGAGAGGCGGCGCGGGGAGAGAGAGAAAGUCGACGGCUAGGGCUUUCAGUCUCCGGGAAUUCUCUGCAGGGCUUCGCUUCUAAACUUAUGAUGAGAGGUAAAGGAGGUGAGGGCUUGCUUUUAUAAUGUGGGGAAAGGGAGAACCCUAGGGUUUUCUAGUUGGGUUGUAGAGAACCCAUUAGCCUUUAAAAAUUUAAUUGGGCUGGUUUUGGGGUGUUACAAUUCUCCCCCU
rnacentral:lncRNA from 1 species